rnacentral:tRNA from 1 species
AGUAGUGUGGUGUAGUGGUUUGAAUGUUGGACUACAACUCCGGAGACCAGGGUUUGAAUCCCUGCUCAGCCA